AGAGUUUGAUCAUGGCUCAGAACGAACGCUGGCGGCGCGUCUUAAGCAUGCAAGUCGAACGAAUGUCCACCCUCGGGUGGGCGGAAGUGGCGGACGGGUGAGUAACACGUGGGUAAUCUGCCCUCCGGUGGGGAAUAGCACAUGGAAACACGUGAUAAUACCGCAUGAUACGGUCCGGCGGAUGCCGGAUUGGGAAAGCUCCUGCGGGAGCGCCGGGGGAUGAGCCUGCGGCCCAUUAGCUGGUUGGCGGGGUAAAGGCCCACCAAGGCGACGAUGGGUAGCCGGACUGAGAGGUUGAACGGCCACAUUGGGAUUGAGAACGGCCCAGACCCCUACGGGAGGCAGCAGCUAAGAAUCUUCCACAAUGGACGGAAGUCUGAUGGAGCGACGCCGCGUGGACGAUGAAGGUCGUGAGGUUGUAAAGUCCUUUUCGGGAGGGUGAAUAACCGCGGGAGGGAAUGCCCGCGGGAUGACGUGAAUCCCGGAAUAAGCCCCGGCUAACUACGUGCCAGCAGCCGCGGUAAUACGUAGGGGGCGAGCGUUGUUCGGAAUCAUUGGGCGUAAAGGGUGCGCAGGUGGCCGAUCAAGUCUGGCGUGAAAGUGCGGGGCUCAACUCCGUGAUGCGCUGGAAACUGGCCGGCUAGAGUACAGCAGGGGGCGUCGGAAUUCCAGGUGUAGGGGUGAAAUCUGUAGAUAUCUGGAAGAACACCGGUGGCGAAGGCGGACGCCUGGGCAUGUACUGACACUGAGGCACGAAGGUGCGGGGAGCAAACAGGUUUAGAUACCCUGGUAGUCCGCACAGUAAACGAUGCACACUGGGUGUCGGGGGCAA
rnacentral:rRNA from 1 species